CUAAGGAAAUAGUAGCCGUGAU
ensembl:ncRNA